rnacentral:rRNA from 1 species
UACGUAGGGGGCAAGCGUUGUCCGGAUUUAUUGGGCGUAAAGAGCGUGUAGGCGGCUUUACAGGUCCGUUGUGAAAACUCGAGGCUCAACCUCGAGACGCCGGUGGAAACCGUAAAGCUAGAGUCCGGAAGAGGAGAGUGGAAUUCCUGGAUGUAGCGGUGAAAUGCGCAGAUAUCAGGAAGAACACCCGUGGCGAAGGCGGCUCUCUGGGGACGGUACUGACGCUGAGACGCGAAAGCGUGGGGAGCGAACAGG